rnacentral:rRNA from 1 species
UACAGAGGUCCCAAGCGUUGUUCGGAUUCACUGGGCGUAAAGGGUCCGUAGGCGGUCCGUAAAGUCGGGUGUGAAAUCCUACAGCUUAACUGUAGAACUGCAUUCGAAACUCACGGACUAGAGUAUGAGAGGGGUUAAGGGAAUUCCCGGUGUAAGGGUGAAAUCUGCAGAGAUCGGGAGGAACACCAGUCGCGAAGGCGCUUAACUGGCUCAUUACUGACGCUCAGGGACGAAAGCUAGGGGAGCAAACGGG